rnacentral:rRNA from 1 species
CAGCCGCCGCGGUAAGACAGAGGAUGCAAGCGUUAUCCGGAAUGAUUGGGCGUAAAGGGCUCGCAGGCGGUUUCUUAAGUCUGAUGUGAGAGCCCCCGGCUCAACCGGGGAGGGUCAUUGGAAACUGGGAAACUUGAGUGCAGAAGAGGAGAGUGGAAUUCCACGUGUAGCGGUGAAAUGCGUAGAGAUGUGGAGGAACACCAGUGGCGAAGGCGACUCUCUGGUCUGUAACUGACGCUGAGGAGCGAAAGCGUGGGGAGCGAACAGGAUUAGAUACCCCUGUAGUCCCUGUCUCUUAUAC